CAAAACACUAUCUACUGUAUGAUUCAAUUUAUAUGAAAUAUCCAGAAUAGGCAAAUCUCUAUAGAGAUGAUGAAUAGAUUAGUGAUUAUCAGGAUCUAGGGGGAAGGGGCAAUGGGAGUGAUUGCUAAUAGGUAGGGAUUUCUUUUCAGGUGUGAUGAAAAUGUUCUAAAAUUGAUUGUGG